AUGCCUCUUUACAGGGCUAAGCCCAAGACAAGAAUUCCAAUAGUUCGCUUUUUCGUUUUAGCGCUACUUGGAUACUUCAAGCCAAGAUCAGGACGAUGGGUGGGAGAUAGGGGCAUGCAUCCAAGAGCUUAUUUUCUCGUUGUUGCUUGUAACAUUAUUAAUGAGAAAAAGUGGCAGGCUCUAUUUUCAUGCUUAAUGUUGUCUCCUUCGAAAUCAAUGCUUAAGUCAAUCCACUUGCAUUGGUGGUCUGUCUCUUCCCUCAUCGCAUGCGCUUCGCUUCGACCAGGGUUUAAGCCUUUGAUUGUCCGGUAG